GCAUUAGUGAGAUUGAGGUCUUGGAGAUUUCUUCUUCAAUCUUGGAGAAUGACUACUUCUGAAAACUAAUGUUUCUCCGUCUCAUAAUUUUACCCUAUUAAUUCAGUUUGGAUGAUCGGACCAAGGUGACUGCCAUGGGCAAGUCCCUUGACGGGUACCAGGAAUGGUGGGAGGACAAUCUGAAGUUAAUGAUCUUUGCCUACAACAGCAGCGUCCAGGCCUCUAGAGUACUCACCCUAUCGCCUGCUGUACUAAUGGGCCCUGCAGCUGUUUACGGAGGUAAACAAUGCAAUUGUAUAUAAAAUGAUUGCCUAUACUGUAGCAUAUACAAUUUGUGAUUGACUUAGUGUUUUUCUAUUGCUAUUUUUGUAUAACGUACUUUGAGAUCACUGAUAAUCCACCUGAUGUGGUGGAAGUUGUCGAACCAGAUCAGAAUGCCUUCAAGGACCACCUUCAGGCACGGACUGAGAAGGAUGUGAAGGUUUUUGACCAGGUGAGACUGAACACGGACAAGGCGCAGGAGAAACAGAAGGAGGAGAAUCAAUUCACCGGAGGAGAAUCAAGUGGACCAAGUGCUUCGACAUCCGGGCGAAUGACUUGGCUUGGAAGAAGGACGAAAGGAAGGCAAGACCUGGGAAAGCUUGGUGCUCUUUCGCUCCUAGCUGGGGUCACCAUCUGUUAAGGGAACAUACCUUACCUCCCUUAUCAACCCCACUGACAUAAAACAUCUGACAAGCUAAGAAAGAGCAAGAAAACUAUCAUACUGGGUACAUAAUGUGAGCUGCACAGAUUAGCUAAAAACACUAGCCCUGAAAAUACUCAGAACAAAGAGGGCAGCAGCGCCUGGACUUUGCAGUUUCCCUCUUCAGGUCCACCUUCCAAGACUACCUGUUGAAAACAAGUGACAGGCAGAACCUCUCAUCCACACAGCACCCGCCUCCUCUCUGUUCUACACUACAGAAUUCAGUAUUUUAGUCUGAUUGCCAUGUGAGUGUACAAAAAAUCAGAAAGUAAAUUGACACACUUGUACCCCCAAAAAUAUCAACGUUUAUGUAUUAAAUCUAAAAUAUUGCCAGAUUGGUUUUCACAGCUGUUUUAUAAGGUGUUCAGUAUUGUAAAUUGUAACGUAUCCCUUGAUGGUAUUUGUUAGUUAAACAUUAUUAAUUGUUGUAUCAAAUGCAAUAGAUAUAUAUUCAACCACAAGGGUGUACUAAUGAGCUAUGAGUGUUAAAAAAUCAUAAUAAAGGACUACUACUGAAAUAUUAUUUCAGUGUAGAUAAGGAAA